rnacentral:lncRNA from 1 species
CCUGUAUAUGCCCACUGAUGUCGGUCAUCAUACAGACUUGUGGUGAAGUGGGAGGUGGUGUCACAGCUCAUCUUCAGUGCCCUACUUGUGGCCACUUCUCCAAGAGUCAUGCCCACCAGUUGUCUCACAUGGCCAGUGCUCACCCGUCCUGCCUGGAUGAUGUGUCAGUCGGUCGUCUUGGCAAUAUCCUGAUGUUCCAGAGCACCGCUCGGCUGUUCCACUGUACCAACUGCUUCUACACCAGCAGAGACUUCACCAAGCUAUACAAGCACAUUAUUACUAAACACUGUGAAGAUGAUGAGGUUAAAGGGAGACAAAAGGAAAAGACAGAAGAACAGGGUGAGGAGGAGUUGAAGGAGAGUCUUAAAAGGAAGAGGGGUAGUGGGGCUGAUGAGGAAGAAGGGGGGAGGGGUGAUGAUGAGGUUUCUUUCCAGAAGCAAGAGUCUGUUAGAGAGCUUCUGAAGGAAGAGAUGGAGGCCACGGCCAAGGUAAUACGCUUUGUCUCCAACCGCUUCGUCUGUCUAAGCUGUGGCUGGAAAACCAAACUCAAAGGUUUUGCCAUCAGUCAUGUGAUACGCAGUCAUGACGUUGUCCGCCCGUACAACUGUAAGGACUGUACACGCUCCUUCUUCCUCCCCAGCCACCUACAACAGCACAUUAGAUCAGCUCAUCGGCCUGGACGCUACGCAUGCCCCUUCUGCUGCUUUAGGUCCCACUUCCUGACGGGGUUCAGGAGGCACUGCAGCCGCUGCAAUGCCCGGGAAGAGGAAGGGGGAAGAGGAGUAGGUGGGGGGGAGGACGAGGAGGCAGAGGAGAAUGAGGAAGAGGAGCAGGGGAAGGAGGAGAGGAAGGACACAAGAGCAGAGAGGAGACGAAAGAGGGCGACGGAAGGUGUGGAGGAGCAGAAGGAGGAUGAUGAGAGUGAUAAUCAAUGA